rnacentral:lncRNA from 1 species
CUUAAACUGCUCCUAGACGCAAACUGUGUUUAGACGCAAUCUGCGCUUAGACGCAAUCUGCGUUUAGACGCAAUCUGCGCUUAGACGCAAUCUGCGCUUAGACGCAAUCUGAGUUUAGACGCAAUCUGCAUUUAGACGCAAACUGCGUUUAGACGCUAACUGUGUUUAAACGUAAACUGCACUUAAUCAUAAGUAAUCUUAG